UAAUAGAACGUGAAAGCGCUCUAAAACCAUCGCGAACCUACCCGUACGUCGUUGCUUCGGCGGGCGGCCCCCCCGGGGGUGGCCGUAGCCCACAGUGGUGCCCGCCGGAGCGCCAAUACUCUUAGCUGUUCAGGUUACCUUCUGAGUCCAAAGAAAAUUAGUUAAAACUUUCAGCAACGGAUCUCUUGGUUCUGGCAUCGAUGAAGAACGCAGCGAAAUGCGAUAAGUAAUGUGAAUUGCAGAAUUCAGUGAAUCAUCGAAUCUUUGAACGCACAUUGCGCCCGCCGGUAUUCCGGCGGGCAUGCCCGUUCGAGCGUCAUUUCAAACCUCAAGCGCCUGCUUGGUGUUGGGGCUCCCGCGGCGGCCGCGGGCUCCUAAAACCAGUGGCGAGCUCGCCGUGAACCCGAGCGCAGUAGUACCUCUCGCCCGGGACGAUCGGAGGGUUCGGCCGUUAAAUCCCGCCGUCCGGCGGACUUUCGGUGGUUUG
rnacentral:misc_RNA from 1 species